rnacentral:rRNA from 1 species
AUUGAACGCUGGCGGCAUGCCUUACGCAUGCAAGUCGAACGGUAACAGGUUAAGCUGACGAGUGGCGAACGGGUGAGUAAUGUAUCGGAACGUGCCCAGUCGUGGGGGAUAACUGCUCGAAAGAGCAGCUAAUACCGCAUACGACCUGAGGGUGAAAGCGGGGGAUCGCAAGACCUCGCGCGAUUGGAGCGGCCGAUAUCAGAUUAGGUAGUUGGUGAGGUAAAGGCUCACCAAGCCGACGAUCUGUAGCUGGUCUGAGAGGACGACCAGCCACACUGGGACUGAGACACGGCCCAGACUCCUACGGGAGGCAGCAGUGGGGAAUUUUGGACGAUGGGCGCAAGCCUGAUCCAGCCAUGCCGCGUGCGGGAAGAAGGCCUUCGGGUUGUAAACCGCUUUUGUCAGGGAAGAAAAGGUUCUGGCUAAUACCUGGGACUCAUGACGGUACCUGAAGAAUAAGCACCGGCUAACUACGUGCCAGCAGCCGCCGUAAAAC